AGUAACUGCGAGUGAAGAGGGAAAAGCUCAAAUUUAAAAUCUGGCAGUCUCUGGCUGUCCGAGUUGUAAUUUAGAGAAGUGUUACCCGCGUUGGACCGUGUAUAAGUCUCCUGGAAUGGAGCGUCAUAGAGGGUGAGAAUCCCGUCUUUGACACGGACUACCAAGGCUUUGUGGUGCGCUCUCGAAGAGUCGUGUUGUUUGGGAAUGCAGCACUAAAUGGGUGGUAAAUUCCAUCUAAAGCUAAAUAUUGGCGAGAGACCGAUAGCGAACAAGUACCGUGAGGGAAAGAUGAAAAGAACUUUGGAAAGAGAGUUAAACAGUACGUGAAAUUGCUGAAAGGGAAACGCUUGAAGUCAGUCGCGUUGGCUAGGGAUCAACCUUGCUUUUGUGGGGUGUACUUCCUAGUUAACGGGUCAACAUCAGUUUUGACUGCUGGAAAAAGGCUAGAGAAAUGUGACAACUCCGGUUGUGUUAUAGUCUCUAGUCAUAUACAGUGGUUGGGACUGAGGAACUCAGCACGCCGCAAGGCCGGGUUUUUAACCACGUUCGUGCUUAGGAUGUUGGCAUAAUGGCUUUAAGCGACCCGUCUUGAAACACGGACCAAGGAGUCUAACAUGCCUGCGAGUAUUUGGGUGGAAAACCCGAGUGCGUAAUGAAAGUGAAAGUUGAGAUCCCUGUCGUGGGGAGCAUCGACGCCCAUACCUGAACUUCUGUGACGGAUAUGCGGUUGAGCAUGUAUGUUGGGACCCGAAAGAUGGUGAACUAUGCCUGAAUAGGGUGAAGCCAGAGGAAACUCUGGUGGAGGCUCGUAGCGAUUCUGACGUGCAAAUCGAUCGUCGAAUUUGGGUAUAGGGGGCGAAAGACUAAUCGAACCAUCUAGUAGCUGGUCC
rnacentral:rRNA from 1 species